CCUACGAGAGGCAGCAGUGGGGAAUAUUGGGCAAUGGGCGCAAGCCUGACCCAGCAACGCCGCGUGAAGGAAGAAGGCUUUCGGGUUGUCAACUUCUUUUAAGAGGGAAGAGCAGAAGACGGUACCUCUUGAAUAAGCCACGGCUAACUACGUGCCAGCAGCCGCGGUAAUACGUAGGUGGCAAGCGUUGUCCGGAUUUACUGGGUGUAAAGGUCGUGUAGCCGGGCUGACAAGUCAGAUGUGAAAUUCCGGGGAGCAACCCCUGACCUGCAUGUGAAACUGUUGGUCUUGAGUAUCGGAGAGGCAGGCGGAAUUCCUAGUGUAGCGGUGAAAUGCGUAGAGAUUAGGAGGAACACCAGUGGCGAAGGCGGCCUGCUGGACGACAACUGACGGUGAGGCGCGAAAGCGUGGGGAGCAAACAGGAUUAGAUACCCCAGUAGUC
rnacentral:rRNA from 1 species